AUGCAUCAUAAAAAUUUUAACCAAAACAAAGGACCAUAUCUCAAUAGAUUUUUAAUUUAUUAAUCAUAAAUACUUACUACUGAAGAGAAGAUUGUGUCAACAAUCCAAAUCUCGUCCAAAGCAAAUAUCCAAAAUGCAGAGUCCUCAAACAAGCAGAUGAAAUUAGCUGCUUAAUAAUCUUUCUUGUGAGUUGGUGAUGUGUGUCUCGUCAUUUCUUCCCAUCGAUCUGAACAUUUCUACAAAAUGUGUGUUGUCCAAAAUCAUUACGCACACAAGAGAGAGAUCCAACAUAAUAAGAUGCAAAAAAUUAGAGUUUGGUAACAUAUCAUCAAGAAAAUUAGGAGCUCACACAAUCUCUCAACCUUGAUUUCAGCGGAAAUUUUUUUCUCUCACCAAAGAUAGAAAAUAUUAAAAACCUUUACUCAAAAUUUUAGAGUAGUUCUUAGCUUAAAAUCACUACUUGUGGUCUCUUCUACGCCCACCCCUCAUACUAACAAAAAAACAUGCAACAAAGACCCGACUUACCCUAGAAAACACUAAGGAAUUAUAAAUUACAUCUUCUUUAAAAGAAAUCCAGCCAUUAUGUCGGUCAUCUCAAAAAAAAACUUUAUAGAUCUGAUUUGGAUAUCACGAGAGCAUCCAAUUCUAGAUCUGCAAAAUGAUGUUGCAAAAUUUGAGAUAGUAGAAGAUCAAAUCACUACCUGUAAUUCACCAUAUGUUGUGGGUACCUUUUCAAAA
rnacentral:lncRNA from 1 species